GGGUCAGUAGGUUGGUCGUGCCACCGGUACGUACUGGUCUCACUGAUUCCUCCUUCCUGAAGAACCGUAAUGCCAUUAAUUUGGUGUUGCGGGGAAACAGGACUGUUACUUUGAAAAAAUGAGAGCGUUUAAAGCAAGCUAACGCUUGAAUACAUUAGCAUGGAAUAAUGAAAUAGGACGAUCGAUCCUAUUUUGUUGGUUUCUAGGAUUGACGUA
rnacentral:rRNA from 1 species